rnacentral:misc_RNA from 1 species
UUCCUUCUAAAAUCAGUAGUUGAAGGUCUUGCAUCACAUGGUCAUGUCAAAUCCUAAUUCCCUUUUCUUCUUCAUUUCAUUUUAUCAUGGAGAAGAAACUUAUGACAAAUGCCUUUUAUUCUAUCAUUAUUUUAGGCAAAAUAUUCAGAAGCCAUUUUGAUGCCGAAAAAUUGCCAUUUAAUAUAAAUUCUACUUCUCAAUUUGUUGAUUCUGAUGUACCUACACCGCUCAUCAUAAUCUUCUAAAUUUUAUGUUAUUUCUUUUCUAUUGAAUUUGUUACACCUUUCACUUGAUGUGAACAGAAGCAAAAAAUGACCAUUUUCCUGUAGUUUUAUAUUUGAUACUAUAAAUUUUAUUAUGUUUUCCAGAGAAUUUGAAUAUGAG